CCGUCCAGAUAUGCAACGGUAUAUUCAGUGCCUGACACGUGGCUAGGCAAGCCUACGUAUUCCUUCCGGUGCUUGGUUCAGGCUAUGUGCUUGGCUAGGUCCGGUAGGUCUGGUGUAAUGCCAGAGCGAUAUGACCAAAACUGUACUCUGGACUUCAGGGUAUGGAGGUCGACACGAUAUCCAAAUGUGGUAUGAGCGUGAAGGCAAUAAAUCGUUUGUAGACGACUUAAUGUUUUGUCGGGGAGACGUAAGUGUAAGAGCAGCUAUCACACUGCGAGACACUGAGUCCUAUCCCUACUUGACGUAAUGAUUUGUUGUCACUUGUAAUUCUCAGUGUUAUUUAUUAACGCUCAUUUUGCCUCUCAUCUUGUUCUGCAUGAUAUAUGAGGGGUAACACCCUCAGGUCACAUCCGGUUGCUUGGUCCUACACGAGCAUAGAUGCCCCGGGCCUACAUACUCGAUGAUGACUAUCCUAAUGCUUAGACCAUUGCCGUGUUCUUACUGACCUGCCUCGGGCCUCGGCCUGUGGUUGGUGCGGCUAUUGGCUUGUACCCGUGUGUGAUGGUAGACGCCAUGUUUGGCCUGCCCCCUCCUCACGGAUGCUCAAAGUCGGGUGUGGGGCGAGUUGCCUCACAUACGCGACGGGACGGCUGCUCGCUUUUGGGCGGAGGGCUGGUCCUUUGGGGCUAGUCAUUCGUUCAUGAGUGUGGCGUGUCUCCUUUGAUAUGAAUAAUCCGAUUGGCUUGUCCUGUAAGCCGGGCGACCGGUGCAGGUUGCUUUGGUGGUGCAUGGUCGAUGUUCGCUUGCAGAAACUGCUAUUGGUGGGAAAGUGACGCCCAGGGCAGCGUCUCUCCCUGUACAACACAUGUGGUGGUGCGCAUGUGGUGCUAACGCUCCGUGAAACCGCGACACGGUUAAGCGGCAUGCACGUAUUUAUGAUCCUGUGCCCCGACGGCUUCGGCUGAACGGGUUGAGGACGGUGUGAAU
rnacentral:misc_RNA from 1 species